rnacentral:rRNA from 1 species
AUUGAACGCUGGCGGCAUGCCUUACACAUGCAAGUCGAACGGUAACGCGGGGCAACCUGGCGACGAGUGGCGAACGGGCGAGUAAUGCAUCGGAACGUGCCCAGUAGUGGGGGAGAGCCCGGCGAAAGCCGGAUUAAUACCGCAUACGACCUACGGGUGAAAGGGGGGGAUCGCAAGACCUCUCGAUAUUGGAGCUGCCUAUGUCAGAUUAGGUCGUUGGUGGGGUAAAGGCCUACCAAGCCGACGAUGUGUAGGUGGUCUGAGAGGACGACCAGCCACACUGGGACUGAGACACGGCCCAGACUCCUACGGGAGGCAGCAGUGGGGAAUUUUGGACAAUGGGCGCAAGCCUGAUCCAGCCAUGCCGCGUGCGGGAAGAAGGCCUUCGGGUUGUAAACCGCUUUUGUCAGGGAAGAAAUCUUCUGGGUUAAUAACUCGGGAGGAUGACGGUACCCGAAGAAUAAGCACCGGCUAACCACGUGCCAGCCGCCGCUGUAAUAC